rfam:Phaseolus vulgaris cultivar G19833 chromosome 6, whole genome shotgun sequence.
AGGUGCGAUCAUACCAGCACUAAUGCACCGGAUCCCAUCAGAACUCCGCAGUCAAGCGUGCUUGGGCGAGAGUAGUACUAGGACGGGUGACCUCCUGGGAAGUCCUCGUGUUGCACUUC